AAUUCGUGCAUCAUCGAACUCUUUCUCUCUUUCUCUUCCCGUUUCGUUCCUUCUUUUCUUCGAUCUGAAUCCUCAAAACUCUGAAACUACGUCGUUUUGAAACUCGAACAGAGAUCUUCCUUCUCUUAAAUCUUCCUAGCGAUCUCUUAAACGCAAACCCUUAUCUCUCUCUCUCUCUCUCUCUCUGGUUUCGAUCGCUUAUUCACCUCUCUAUUUCCUCUCAUCCAAAAACCCUCCCAAACUUUUAUUCAUUCUACGCUAUAAAGUUGAAACCACGAACCAUUUUCAUCUCAGGUUGCCUGAAAUUUGUUUGAAUGACCCUGCAACGACAGUUGAAAUAUGACAUCAAGUAUGUUGUCUGGAGAUCGAAGAUGGGCUUCCUCUUCGGGCAAAAGAGGGGGCUUGACUGUUCUGGGGAAAGUUGUCGUUCCAAAGCCUAUCAACUUACCCAGUCAAAGGUCCGAAAAUCAUGGGAUGGAUCCAAAUGUUGAGAUUGUACCCAAGGGUACCCUUGGCUGGGGCAGUAAAUCAUCUUGUCCAUGGGGUUCCUCAUCACUUUCUCCUAAUACUGAUGGUGGUGGCUCACCAAGUUAUCUAAGUGGCUGCCCUUCUGCUGGAAGUGGCACUCGCCCUUCAACUGCAAACAGUGAUAGAGCUCAUGAACCUACGAUUUGUGUUAGUGGUCCAAAUUCUCGGCCAUCAUCAGCUUCUGGGGCAUUGACAUCAAGCCAGACAUCACUGAUAGCAUUGCGUCCCCGAAGUGCGGAAACAAGACCUGGUAGUUCUCAGCUUUCACGGUUUGCUGAGCACUCUGAACAUCAAGUGGCAUGGAAUGCUGCUGGGACUGCAGAAAAAUUGGGCGUAACACCACCCAAGAAUGAUGGAUUUUCUCUUACUUCUGGAGACUUUCCGACACUUGGUUCAGGAAAAGAAAGUUCUGAUCAGAGUUCUCAUAGCCGUCCUGGCUCAUCCUCCAGUGGAUUAGGAACAACUAAAGAGAGGAUCAGGACUUCUGGAGCUGGUGAUCUUUCUACAAGAGACACUGUAAAAACUGACACAGUGAAUUCUUGGAAAAGAGAUAGUCCACCAUACUGUGAAGAUGGAGUUAGACCUGGUCCGGAAAAGUGGCAGGGGAAUAACCAAACUUACCCUGCCCCUCCACAGCAUUAUGAAUAUGAUGGCUGGUGUGGUGCUCCAUUAAAUAAUCCUCAAGGGGGUGUUUGGUUUAGAGGACCUUCGGGAGGUCCUUAUGGAAACCCAGUUGCUGGUGGUGGUUAUCCAAUGGAACCCUUCCCAUAUUAUCAUCAACAGAUGCCCGCUGCUGGUCUUCCCAACCCACAGCCAGUUCCCUCACCUGGAGCUGGGCCAAGAGGUCCUCAUCCUAAAAAUGGGGAUAUGUACAGACCUCAUAUGCCAGAUGCAUUCAUUCGCCCAGGUAUGCCUAUGCAGCCUGGUUUUUAUCCUGCUCCAGUAGCCUACGAGGGUUACUAUGGUCCUCCUAUGGGCUAUUGCAGUUCAAAUGAACGUGAUGUUCCUUUUAUGGGAAUGGCAGCUCGUCCUGUUUAUAACAUGUACCCAGGCCAAGGUGCUCCUGAGCCUGGGAAUUCCCAUGGAAGGUCCACUGGAUAUGCCUCUACCAACCAGACACAGAUAGGAGAACAAGUGGAAUUAGUUCAUCCCCAGGAUAAUCGUGGACCAUACAAGGUCCUUCUGAAGCAGCAUGAUGGUUACGAUAGAAAAACUGAGGAACAUAGAAGCCAGAGUGCCACUGAGGCAUCAAGGGGAGAUCAGCCAAGAACAACUUCAUACUGGGAAGAUGAUUGGAGAUCAUAUAAAAAGGAUGAGGUAAGGGAUUUAAGGAAAGCCCCUGUCGAAGAAGCUUCAUUUCAGAAUUCCGACAACAAAGGUGCUGCUUUAGUCCCUGACAAAGUGAAGUCUGCUAGUAUUGGGGGAAACACGAAGACCAAUGAUGAUAUUUCAGGAAAGAAAUUGGAAAGUGAGGCCUUGGGUUUGUCAAAAGCUUCACCACUUCCAGCUGCCCCAAAAGAUUCCAGUCUGAUCCAGAGCUUAGAAGAAUUAAAUACAAAAGCACGAGUUUCUGAUGGACAUAGUGAAACCAUAAUUGCCUCCAGUGGGGAAGAUCGAAAAAUUAAUUUUCAAGCUAAUGCAAAAGCUAUGCAGAAUAGGAAUGAAUCUGGGGGCAGCUCCUCGUAUCCUGAGAGAACUUACACCACUGAUAUUAGCAACUCCAACAGCCGAAAAGUUGGCUUGUCUGGGGGUAAUAAGAACCUUGAUUCAAAAGUUGGCUCUGAAACAAACACCUCCAGGAUAUCUACACAUUCCUCACAAUCCAGAGGUGAUCAUUAUGGUAGAGGAAGAUUUAUUACUCAGGAGGUUGAAGGGUGGCAAAAGAAGCCUUCAAUUUCUGAGUCUGCAGCGGUGCACUCAGAAACUUCUAAUAUUCAUGUGCAUGAUCACCACCAUGGAUCUCAUAAUGAUACUCAAAAUUCAGGGUCUGGGUUACUUCCUCGUGGCAAGCUUGAGGGACAAUCUUUGCUGCCAAUGUUAGAUCGAAGUGAUAACCAGACCCAGCGAGCAAAGAAUAAGGAGCUGGCCAAGCUAAAAGCCAAGCAACUACAGGAGGAAGAGGAGGAGCGGAAUAAGAAGCAGACGGCCGGGGCUCUUGCAAAGUUGGAAGAAUUGAAUAGGCGAACAAAAGCAGUAGAAGAGUCAGCUCAGAACUGGGAAAAUGCUUCAAGUGGUGCUGUCCAGAAUAAACAAGAACAAUCUCAGUCUUCUGGUGAAUCCUUUAUACCUGGCAUGAGCUAUGGGCCGCCAAAGACAGCUUUGGGUUCUAAAUCAAAUGUAGUUGCUCAGGUUAAUGAGAGCUACACAAGUGGAGUUGAAAAAUCCUCUUUACCAUGUGGUGAACUACCUUUAGAGGCUCCAAAGGGUGUAUCUGGGGAACCUCCAAGGAUUCAUGCUCAAUCUAUGUCCUUGCAGCAUGAGGUUAAUGGUGUUAUUGCUGCUCAUCACGGUAAUGUUUCUCAAACUCAUGAAAGUAAUGUAUCUAAACAGAAGCAUACAGGUUUUAAGCAAAAGCAAGGCACCACAGCUGAGGUGCCAAAAUUUCAGGAAGCUGUAGAAGAUAAUGUUACUUCUUUUGGUGUUGUAGCCAAGGAAGUUCUCCCGAGUGGUGGGUCAACUGCCCCUUUAAUUUCAAAUGCCAGUGCUGAUUCCUCUCUACAACCAAGAAAGAAAAAUAGUAAGAACGGAAAGAACAAGCACAAGUUAGAAGAUGCUUCACUAGUUUCUACUUCAUCACCAUUGGGAUCUAAAGAGAACCCUGCAAAUUUUUCUCGUGAAAAUUCUCAGCCAAAGGCAUCUGAAUCUCAGUUGGAUCCUACUGCAGUUCAGUUGCACUCCAUUUCUAGAGAUGUAGACCGGCCUUUAGAGCAACACCCAUCGUCACCUGAGGACUCUCAUGGUAGAGUAAACAGCCAAUUGAAAACUCAACAGUCACGCAGGAUGCCUAGAAAUGCACAAGGUAAUAGACCUGCAGAAAAGCUUCAUGGCAGUGAUGCAGUUGUCUGGGCACCCGUUCGUUCACAGAACAAAGCUGAGAUUACUGAUGAAGCCAGCCCUAAAAAUGUAGUUGAUGUCGUUGGUCCUUUUGUCAAGCCUGAUCACCAUGUACAGAAUAAUUUGAAAAAUAAGAGGGCAGAGAUGGAGAGGUAUGUUCCUAAACCUGUAGCAAAAGAAAUGGCACAACAUGGAGGUAAUCACCAUCUUGUGACUUCUGAAGUCAAUCAGACUAUUUUUGAUGAAUCUACUGCAAGAGCAAAUUCUGAAAGUAUUCAUAGUCCUGGGAUGGUUGCUGGGAAAACGGGUUUCUCUGCUGAUCCCCGUAAUGGGAUUGGCAGGCAUAAUAAACAGGGGAAAGCACAGGGGUCAUGGCGGCAACGGGUGUCAACGGAAUCAACCAGUACACAAGUUUUUCAAGAUGUGCCAUCAUAUACAAGUCAUGGCCAGAAUAAGCCAAAACCAAAUGAACAUCAGCACCCCCCAAACCCUGAUGCAAGCUCAGUGCAAGAGCAACAAAAGUGUACUGGUGAAUGGGGCACUAAUGAUGGCUGGAGCAUUUCUAACAAUUCUAGCUCUGUUGAACCUGUCUCAGUGUCUACAGUAAUAGACCAGGGAGUUGCAGUUAGAGGAAAGCGACAUGGAUUCAAGGGACACAAAGGCAUGGGGAAUAAUUGUGAUGUCGAUCAAAAGAAAAUCAAUAAUAGGGAGAAUGACAAAAAUUACACUCAAUCUUCAACCUCUGAGACGAGUCAGAUAGAGGUGUCUGCUGCUUCAAAAGAAGAUCGAGUUAUUGGGGAAAAUUCAAUGUCUCAUUGGCAACCCAAGGCUCAGGCAGUUUCAACUGGUCAUCAACGGGGUAUCAGACAUAAUAUUAGUCAAAAUGUUGGUGCUGAAGUUGCUUGGACUAACAAAUUGCAAUCCAAUCGGCAUGAUGGAGUGUUACCACCACCAACCCAUGACAAAGUUACUAAUAAUUCUUUAGGCCAGAUUCAUCGUGAUCAGCUAGUUUCUGAAAAAAACAAUGCCGAGGAUGCAUCACAUGCUAGGCUGCAAGAGCCUAGAAGAGAGAGGAAGUCUGCUUCAUUCAAGGGGAACCCCCACUUUCCAAACAAAGGUCCUGCUAAUCCAGUUGAACCACCCCCAGUGAAAGUGGAUGUUCAACAGGACCAACAAUUCCGCAAAAGUGGAAACCAGAACAGGCGAUUCAGCAAAGCUCAAGAGUCUCGUGGAGAUUGGAAUUACUCUGGACAAGAUAACAAGCAAAAUAACCCACCUCCAAACAGGGAAAGACCAAGGCAAGGUUCACAUUAUGAGUAUCAACCAGUUGGGCCAUACAACAAUAAGUCUAGCAGUUCUGAUGGACCUAAAGAUGGUACUGAUAAUUCAGGUGGUAGGGUUCGGGGGAGGGGGGGCCAGAAUCACUCAAGACGUGGUGGGGGUGGUAACUUUAAUGUACGACAAAGUGGAGUUCAAGUUGACGCCGGUUAUGAGUAGUACCUUUAUGGACAGCAAAGUGGAGUUCACGUAGACACUGGUUAUGGUUAGUGGAUUAUACAAGGAAAGUCUCAACUCUCAAGGCCCGGUUUUGAAAUCCGACUUUCGUGGUUUGUAGUGGCAGCUUUGAUCAUAUUACCAGGAGGUGGAGAAGGUAUGCUGAUCAUCGGCGGCAACAACAACAUAACGGAGUAUAUUUGAAGUUUGGGGUAUUUGGAUGUGGAAUAUUUUUUUAAUUUUAAUUUUUAACAGAUGUAUCUUAAAUGAACAUUGCAGUUGGUCCCGGCUUGUUUCCUGUGGAACCCUUGUAUUUAGCGACACUUUAUUCCUCUUUUAAAAUGUCAAAACGCUGUGGGGAGGGGGAAUGAAUUAGAAAAGUUUUUUGGUUCUCAAUCUCAUUUGUGUUCAAGAUGGAUGUGUAGGACCUAAACAUUUGUAUUUGCAUUUCUCCCAGUUUCUUGCUCUGCCUGAGCCUAAAAAGCCUGUAAAAGGAUUGUCUUAUAUGUGUAUAUUAUGUUUGUUCAAUUCCUCUAAUUGUAAUCAACUUUGGAA